GACGAACGUUGGCGGCGUGCUUAACACAUGCAAGUCGAACGGAAAGGCCCUGCUUUUGUGGGGUGCUCGAGUGGCGAACGGGUGAGUAACACGUGAGUAACCUGCCCUUGACUUUGGGAUAACUUCAGGAAACUGGGGCUAAUACCGGAUAGGAGCUCCUGCUGCAUGGUGGGGGUUGGAAAGUUUCGGCGGUUGGGGAUGGACUCGCGGCUUAUCAGCUUGUUGGUGGGGUAGUGGCUUACCAAGGCUUUGACGGGUAGCCGGCCUGAGAGGGUGACCGGCCACAUUGGGACUGAGAUACGGCCCAGACUCCUACGGGAGGCAGCAGUGGGGAAUAUUGCACAAUGGGCGGAAGCCUGAUGCAGCAACGCCGCGUGCGGGAUGACGGCCUUCGGGUUGUAGACCGCUUUCGCCUGUGACGAAGCGUGAGUGACGGUAAUGGGUAAAGAAGCACCGGCUAACUACGUGCCAGCAGCCGCGGUGAUACGUAGGGUGCGAGCGUUGUCCGGAUUUAUUGGGCGUAAAGGGCUCGUAGGUGGUUGAUCGCGUCGGAAGUGUAAUCUUGGGGCUUAACCCUGAGCGUGCUUUCGAUACGGGUUGACUUGAGGGAGGUAGGGGAGAAUGGAAUUCCUGGUGGAGCGGUGGAAUGCGCAGAUAUCAGGAGGAACACCAGUGGCGAAGGCGGUUCUCUGGGCCUUUCCUGACGCUGAGGAGCGAAAGCGUGGGGAGCGAACAGGCUUAGAUACCCUGGUAGUCCACGCUGUAAACGGUGGGUACUAGGUGUGGGGUCCAUUCCACGGGUUCCGUGCCGUAGCUAACGCUUUAAGUACCCCGCCUGGGGAGUACGGCCGCAAGGCUAAAACUCAAAGGAAUUGACGGGGCCCCGCACAAGCGGCGGAGCAUGCGGAUUAAUUCGAUGCAACGCGUAGAACCUUACCUGGGUUUGACAUGGAUCGGGAGUGCUCAGAGAUGGGUGUGCCUCUUUUGGGGUCGGUUCACAGGUGGUGCAUGCCUGUCGUCAGCUCGUGUCGUGAGAUGUUGGGUUAAGUCCCGCAACGAGCGCAACCCUUGUUCACUGUUGCCAGCACGUUAUGGUGGGGACUCAGUGGAGACCGCCGGGGUCAACUCGGAGGAAGGUGGGGAUGACGUCAAGUCAUCAUGCCCCUUAUGUCCAGGGCUUCACGCAUGCUACAAUGGCUGGUACAGAGAGUGGCGAGCCUGUGAGGGUGAGCGAAUCUCGGAAAGCCGGUCUCAGUUCGGAUUGGGGUCUGCAACUCGACCUCAUGAAGUCGGAGUCGCUAGUAAUCGCAGAUCAGCAACGCUGCGGUGAAUACGUUCCCGGG
rnacentral:rRNA from 1 species